GAUGAACGCUAGCGAUAGGCUUAACACAUGCAAGUCGAGGGGCAUCACAUGAGUAGCAAUACGAUGGUGGCGACCGGCGCACGGGUGAGUAACACGUAUGCAACCUGCCCGUAACUGGGGAAUAACCCGUCGAAAGGCGGACUAAUACCGCAUAAUAAUGGUUUACUGCAUGGUGAAUCAUUUAAAGAUUUAUCGGUUACGGAUGGGCAUGCGUUCCAUUAGGUAGUUGGUAGGGUAACGGCUUACCAAGCCUACGAUGGAUAGGGGUUCUGAGAGGAAGGUCACCCACACUGGUACUGAGACACGGACCAGACUCCUACGGGAGGCAGCAGUGAGGAAUAUUGGUCAAUGGGCGAGAGCCUGAACCAGCCAAAUCGCGUGAAGGAUGAAGGUAUUAUGUAUUGUAAACUUCUUUUGUCAGGGAGUAAAGUGCGGCACGUGUGCUGUUUUGUAUGUACCUGAAGAAUAAGGAUCGGCUAACUCCGUGCCAGCCGCCGCCGUAACAC
rnacentral:rRNA from 1 species